AAUAUUGGACAAUGGGGGUAACCCUGAUCCAGCCAUGCCGCGUGUGUGAAUAAGGUCUUCGGAUUGUAAAGCACUUUAAGUAGGGAGGAAGGGCCUUAGGUUAAUACACUGAAGUUUUGACGUUACCAACAGAAUAAGAAUCGGCUAACUCUGUGCGAGCAACCGGGGUAAGACAUAGGGUGCAAGCUUUAAACGGAAUUACUGGGCGUAAAGCGAGGUUAGGGUGUUCAGUAAGUGGGGUGUUAAGUCCCCGGGCUUAACCUGGGAACGGCUUUCAUAACUGCUGAGCUAGAAUACGGUAGAGGGUAUUGGAAUUUCCUGUGUAGCGGUGAAAUGCGUAGAUAUAGGAAGGAACACCAGUGGCGAAGGCGACUACCUGGACUGAUACUGACACUGAGGUGCGAAAGCGUGGGGAGCAAACA
rnacentral:rRNA from 1 species